GGGUUGUGAGGUUAAGCGACUAAGCGUACACGGUGGAUGCCCUGGCAGUCAGAGGCGAUGAAGGACGUGCUAAUCUGCGAUAAGCGUCGGUAAGGUGAUAUGAACCGUUAUAACCGGCGAUUUCCGAAUGGGGAAACCCAGUGUGAUUCGUCACACUAUCAUUAACUGAAUCCAUAGGUUAAUGAGGCGAACCGGGGGAACUGAAACAUCUAAGUACCCCGAGGAAAAGAAAUCAACCGAGAUUCCUCCAGUAGCGGCGAGCGAACGGGGAGCAGCCCAGAGCCUGAAUCAGUGUGUGUGUUAGUGGAAGCGUCUGGAAAGGCGUGCGAUACAGGGUGACAGCCCCGUACACAAAAAUGCACAUACUGUGAGCUCGAUGAGUAGGGCGGGACACGUGGUAUCCUGUCUGAAUAUGGGGGGACC
rnacentral:rRNA from 1 species